UCUCCGUAGGUGAACCUGCGGAGGGAUCAUUACAGAGUGCAUGCCCUACCGGGUAGAUCUCCCACCCUAUGUUAUUAUUACUUUGUUGCUUUGGCGGGCCGUUAGGCUCCGGCCCGACUACCGGCCCCGGCUGGUAAGCGCCCGCCAGAGGACCCAAAACCCUGAAUAUUAGUGUCGUCUGAGUACUAUAUAAUAGUUAAAACUCUCAACAACGGAUCUCUUGGUUCUG
rnacentral:misc_RNA from 1 species